rnacentral:rRNA from 1 species
GACGUAGGGAGCAAGCGUUGUCCGGAUUUACUGGGCGUAAAGGGCGCGUAGGCGGUCUGUUAAGUGUGAAGUGAAAUCUCCAGGGCUCAACCCGGAAACUGCUUUACAGACUGGCAGACUAGAGGGAUGGAGAGGUAAGUGGAAUUCCCGGUGUAGCGGUGAAAUGCGCAGAUAUCGGGAGGAACACCGGUGGCGAAGGCGGUUCUCUGGGCCUUACCUGACGCUGAGGAGCGAAAGCGUGGGGAGCAAACAGG